rfam:Brachypodium distachyon strain Bd21 chromosome 1, whole genome shotgun sequence.
CAACUACUCCCUCCGUCCCAUAUUAAGUGAUCCAAAUUUGUUUAAAUAUGGACGUAUAUAUAUACUAAAUAUGUCUAGAUACAUGUAAUAGAAAGUCACUUAAUGUGGGACGGAGAGAGUAUAAU